rnacentral:rRNA from 1 species
AACGUAGGUGGCGAGCGUUAUCCGGAUUUACUGGGCGUAAAGGGUGUGCAGGCUGCCCGUCAAGUGGUGUAUGAAAGUGCCCGGCUCAACCGGGCUUGGUUAUGCCAGACUGACGGGCUAGAGAGCGAGAGCGGGACGUGGAAUUCCGGGUGUAGUGGUGAAAUACAUAGAGAUGUCAUAGAACACCGAUUGCGAAGGCAGCUAACGAAACUAUAACUGACACUGAGGCUCGAAAGUGUGGGGAUCAAACAGG